CUACGGGAGGCUGCAGUGGGGAAUAUUGCACAAUGGAGGAAACUCUGAUGCAGCAACGCCGCGUGGAGGAUGACACUUUUCGGAGCGUAAACUCCUUUUAUAUAGGAAGAAGAUGACGGUACUAUAUGAAUAAGCGCCGGCUAACUCCGUGCCAGCAGCCGCGGUAAUACGGAGGGCGCAAGCGUUACUCGGAAUCACUGGGCGUAAAGAGCGUGUAGGCGGAUUAAAAAGUCAGAAGUGAAAUCCUAUAGCUUAACUAUAGAACUGCUUCUGAAACUCUUAAUCUAGAACAUGGGAGAGGUAGAUGGAAUUUCUGGUGUAGGGGUAAAAUCCGUAGAGAUCAGAAGGAAUACCGAUUGCGAAGGCGAUCUACUAGAACAUUAUUGACGCUGAGACGCGAAAGCGUGGGGAGCGAACAGGAUUAGAUACCCGCGUAGUC
rnacentral:rRNA from 1 species